UACGGGGGGAGCAAGCGUUGUUCGGAUUUACUGGGCGUAAAGGGCGCGUAGGCGGCCAGCACAAGUCAGUUGUGAAAUCUCCGAGCUUAACUCGGAACGGUCAACUGAUACUGUGCGGCUAGAGUGCGGAAGGGGCAACUGGAAUUCUUGGUGUAGCGGUGAAAUGCGUAGAUAUCAAGAGGAACACCUGCGGCGAAGGCGGGUUGCUGGGCCGACACUGACGCUGAGGCGCGAAAGCCAGGGGAGCGAACCGG
rnacentral:rRNA from 1 species